rnacentral:rRNA from 14 species
UAGGGGCGAAAGACUAAUCGAACCAUCUAGUAGCUGGUUCCCUCCGAAAUUUCCCUCAGGAUAGCAAGAGCAUAGCAGUUUUACCGGGUAAAGCGAAUGAUUAGAGGUUCGGGGGUUGAAAUGACCUUCACCUAUUCUCAAACUUUAAAUCGGUAAGAUGGGCCCGUUACUUCAGUGAACAGGCUCUUGAAUGCAGCGCUCUUAGUGGGCCAUUUUUGGUAAGCAGAACUGGCGAUGCGGGAUGAUCCGAACGCACAGUUAAAGUGCCAAAGUGCCCGCUCAUGCAGAUCCCAUA